AUUGAACGCUGGCGGCAUGCUUUACACAUGCAAGUCGAACGGUAACAGGUUAAGCUGACGAGUGGCGAACGGGUGAGUAAUGCAUCGGAACGUGCCCGAUCGUGGGGGAUAACACUUCGAAAGAAGUGCUAAUACCGCAUACGAUCUGAGGAUGAAAGCGGGGGACCGUAAGGCCUCGCGCGAUCGGAGCGGCCGAUGUCAGAUUAGGUAGUUGGUGGGGUAAAGGCUCACCAAGCCGACGAUCUGUAGCUGGUCUGAGAGGACGACCAGCCACACUGGGACUGAGACACGGCCCAGACUCCUACGGGAGGCAGCAGUGGGGAAUUUUGGACAAUGGGCGCAAGCCUGAUCCAGCAAUGCCGCGUGCAGGAAGAAGGCCUUCGGGUUGUAAACUGCUUUUGUACGGAGCGAAAAGGCUCCCUCUAAUAAGCUGAGCUCAUGACGGUACCGUAAGAAUAAGCACCGGCUAACUACGUGCCAGCCGCCGCGGUAA
rnacentral:rRNA from 1 species